rnacentral:rRNA from 1 species
UACGUAGGGGGGCAAGCGUUGUCCGGAUUUAUUGGGCGUAAAGAGCGUGUAGGCGGCUUCACAGGUCUGCUGUGAAAAACUCGAGGCUCAACCUCGAGAUGUCGGUGGAAACCGUGUGGCUAGAGUCCGGAAGAGGAGAGUGGAAUUCACGGUGUAGCAGUGAAAUGCGUAGAUAUCGUGAGGAAGACCGGUGGCGAAGGCGGAUCUCUGGACAGUUCCUGACGCUGAGGCGCGAAGGCCAGGGGAGCAAACGGG